GGAGAGGUGGCCGAGUGGUCGAAGGCGCACGCCUGGAAAGUGUGUAUACGGCAACGUAUCGAGGGUUCGAAUCCCUCCCUCUCCGCCA
rnacentral:tRNA from 5 species